GAUGAACGCUGGCGGCGUGCCUAAUACAUGCGAGUCGAGCGAACAGACGAGGAGCUUGCUCCUCUGACGUUAGCGGCGGACGGGUGAGUAACACGUGGAUAACCUACCUAUAAGACUGGGAUAACUUGGGGAAACCGGAGCUAAUACCGGAUAAUAUAUUGAACCGCAUGGUUCAAUAGUGAAAGACGGUUUUGCUGUCACUUAUAGAUGGAUCCGCGCCGCAUUAGCUAGUUGGUAAGGUAACGGCUUACCAAGGCGACGAUGCGUAGCCGACCUGAGAGGGUGAUCGGCCACACUGGAACUGAGACACGGUCCAGACUCCUACGGGAGGCAGCAGUAGGGAAUCUUCCGCAAUGGGCGAAAGCCUGACGGAGCAACGCCGCGUGAGUGAUGAAGGUCUUCGGAUCGUAAAAAUCUGUUAUUAGGGAAGAACAAAUGUGUAAGUAACUAUGCACGUCUUGACGGUACCUAAUCAGAAAGCCACGGCUAACUACGUG
rnacentral:rRNA from 1 species